ACGGGUGAGUAACGCGUGGGAAUCUACCCAUUUCUACGGAACAACUCCGGGAAACUGGAGCUAAUACCGUAUACGUCCUUUUGGAGAAAGAUUUAUCGGAGAUGGAUGAGCCCGCGUUGGAUUAGCUAGUUGGUGGGGUAAUGGCCUACCAAGGCGACGAUCCAUAGCUGGUCUGAGAGGAUGAUCAGCCACACUGGGACUGAGACACGGCCCAGACUCCUACGGGAGGCAGCAGUGGGGAAUAUUGGACAAUGGGCGCAAGCCUGAUCCAGCCAUGCCGCGUGAGUGAUGAAGGCCCUAGGGUUGUAAAGCUCUUUCAACGGUGAAGAUAAUGACGGUAACCGUAGAAGAAGCCCCGGCUAACUUCGUGCCAGCAGCCGCGGUAAUACGAAGGGGGCUAGCGUUGUUCGGAAUUACUGGGCGUAAAGCGCACGUAGGCGGAUACUUAAGUCAGGGGUGAAAUCCCGGGGCUCAACCCCGGAACUGCCUUUGAUACUGGGUAUCUCGAGUCCGGAAGAGGUGAGUGGAAUUCCGAGUGUAGAGGUGAAAUUCGUAGA
rnacentral:rRNA from 2 species